rnacentral:rRNA from 1 species
AAUGGGGAAACCCAGUGUGAUUCGUCACACUAUCAUUAACUGAAUCCAUAGGUUAAUGAGGCGAACCGGGGGAACUGAAACAUCUAAGUACCCCGAGGAAAAGAAAUCAACCGAGAUUCCCCCAGUAGCGGCGAGCGAACGGGGAGGAGCCCAGAGCCUGAAUCAGUGUGUGUGUUAGUGGAAGCGUCUGGAAAGGCGCGCGAUACAGGGUGACAGCCCCGUACACAAAAAUACACAUAUUGUGAGCUCGAUGAGUAGGGCGGGACACGUGGUAUCCUGUCUGAAUAUGGGGGGACCAUCCUCCAAGGCUAAAUACUCCUGACUGACCGAUAGUGAACCAGUACCGUGAGGGAAAGGCGAAAAGAACCCCGGCGAGGGGAGUGAAAAAGAACCUGAAACCGUGUACGUACAAGCAGUGGGAGCACGCUUAGGCGUGUGACUGCGUACCUUUUGU